AUUGAACGCUGGCGGAAUGCUUUACACAUGCAAGUCGAACGGCAGCACGGGUGCUUGCACCUGGUGGCGAGUGGCGAACGGGUGAGUAAUGCGUCGGAACGUACCGAGUAAUGGGGGAUAACGCAGCGAAAGUUGUGCUAAUACCGCAUACGCCCUGAGGGGGAAAGCGGGGGAUCGUAAGACCUCGCGUUAAUGGAGCGGCCGAUGCCGGAUUAGCUAGUUGGUGAGGUAAAGGCUUACCAAGGCGACGAUCCGUAGCUGGUCUGAGAGGACGACCAGCCACACUGGAACUGAGACACGGUCCAGACUCCUACGGGUGGCUG
rnacentral:rRNA from 1 species